UACGAAGGGGGCUAGCGUUGCUCGGAAUCACUGGGCGUAAAGGGUGCGUAGGCGGGUCUUUAAGUCAGGGGUGAAAUCCUGGAGCUCAACUCCAGAACUGCCUUUGAUACUGAGGAUCUUGAGUUCGGGAGAGGUGAGUGGAACUGCGAGUGUAGAGGUGAAAUUCGUAGAUAUUCGCAAGAACACCAGUGGCGAAGGUGGCUCACUGGCCCGAUACUGACGCUGAGGCACGAAAGCGUGGGGAGCAAACAGG
rnacentral:rRNA from 1 species